rnacentral:sRNA from 1 species
CACCAUUUUGCUCAUCUGUUAUCUAGGUCAUUACCUCCUUUGAUGAAAUUGGAGAGCCUGGAGAGAAAGAAUUUAAGCGUCUGUCCUACGUCAAUAAAAUCUGCAUCACCAAGGAGUACUUAGUGGGUGAGGGUGGCAAUGUGGCAGCAGACUCCCCAGGUGUGAUCAGCACAAUCAAAAGCAAGAAAGAUGCCCAGGUUGUAAUUCUAUGGAUGAAGAAUCCACUGCCACUUUUAGAAGCAGCCAGUGCUGAUGCUGAAGUAAGUCGUACCUACCUGUUUAUAGCCACAGACAAAUGGGGAGCAGAUGUUGACUACCUUAACAACCCCAAGCUGUACCAACUGCUGUUCUACAGGAACUUGGUCAUAUUGGAUGUCGAGACUG